rnacentral:rRNA from 1 species
UACGUAGGGGGCUAGCGUUGCUCGGAAUCACUGGGCGUAAAGCGCACGUAGGCGGCUUUUUAAGUCAGGGGUGAAAUCCUGGAGCUCAACUCCAGAACUGCCUUUGAUACUGGGAAGCUUGAGUCCGGAAGAGGUGAGUGGAACUCCGAGUGUAGAGGUGAAAUUCGUAGAUAUUCGGAAGAACACCGAUGGCGAAGGCAACCACCUGGGCCUGUACUGACGCUGAGGUACGAAAGCGUGGGGAGCAAACAGG